UACGUAGGUGGCAAGCGUUGUCCGGAUUUAUUGGGCGUAAAGCGCGCGCAGGCGGUUCUUUAAGUCUGAUGUGAAAUCUCGGGGCUCAACCCCGAGCGGUCAUUGGAAACUGGAGGACUUGAGUGCAGAAGAGAAGAGCGGAAUUCCACGUGUAGCGGUGAAAUGCGUAGAGAUGUGGAGGAACACCAGUGGCGAAGGCGACUACCUGGCCUGUUCUUGACGCUGAGGCGCGAAAGCUAGGGGAGCAAACGGG
rnacentral:rRNA from 1 species